ACGCUCGACACCUACUGGAGGCAGCAGUGGGGAAUAUUGCACAAUGGGGGAAACCCUGAUGCAGCAACGCCGCGUGAAGGAAGACGGUUUUCGGAUUGUAAACUUCUGUUCUUAGUGAAGAUAGUGACGGUAGCUAAGGAGCAAGCCACGGCUAACUACGUGCCAACAGCCGCCGGUAAGUACUGAGCGGGCGUGGCGAAGGACG
rnacentral:rRNA from 1 species